ensembl:processed_transcript
AUUAGGGACUUGGGGUGGGGAUGAUAAAGGCAGGGGCUGCUCCUGUAGCUGAGGUCUGGGGUUGACCUUUGGAGUCAGUAUGGGGAGGUCAGAGAGGAGGAAUGCAACUUCUCAGAGAUUUAUAGCCAGCUUGUGACAUAGCAUGGAUUGGUGGUCUGCUCUGCUAUUGCAGCUCCUGUGGAGGGAAGACCUUCAUCCUGGAGGAUGCUCUGCUUGACGUGGAUGCUACCCAUCAGAAGCCCUAGCAAGUCUGUUUUCAGCAGGAAUUCCCCAGGUUUGAUGACAUCAUUCUGCUCGCUGUCCCAG